GUGCCAGCCGCCGCGGUAAUACGUAGGGAGCAAGCGUUGUUCGGAAUUAUUGGGCGUAAAGAGCGCGUAGGCGGUUUGGUAAGUCUGGUGUGAAAUCCCGGAGCUUAACUCCGGAACUGCAUUGGAUACUGCCAGGCUUGAGUGUGGGAGAGGAGAGUGGAAUUCCCAGUGUAGAGGUGAAAUUCGUAGAUAUUGGGAGGAACACCCGUGGCGAAGGCGGCUCUCUGGACCACAACUGACGCUGAGGCGCGAAAGCUAGGGGAGCAAACGGGAUUAGAUACCCGAGUAGUCC
rnacentral:rRNA from 1 species